rnacentral:sRNA from 1 species
CGCCCCAUGGCCCAGCCCUGUCUCCUUUUAGCAUAGGGGCUUCGGCGCCAGCGGCCAGCGCUAGUCGGUCUGGUAAGGCAAAGCGGAGCGGAGAUCCUCAAACGGCCUAGUGCUUCGCGCUUCCGGAGAAAAUCAGCGGUCUAAUUAAUUCCUCUGGUUUGUUGAAGCAGUUACCAAGAAUCUUCACCCCUUUCCCACAAAAGGUACGGUUGAGUACACGUUCCUGUUGAUUUACAAAAGGUGCAGGUAUGAGCAGAUCUGAAGACUAACAUUUUGUGAACUUGUAAAACAGAAAACCUGUUUGAAAUGUGGUGGUUUCAGCAAGGCCUCAGUUUCCUUCCUUCAGCCCUUGUAAUUUGGACAUCUGCUGCUUUCAUAUUUUCAUACAUUACUGCAGUAACACUCCACCAUAUAGACCCGGCUUUACCUUAUAUCAGUGACACUGGUACAGUAGCUCCAGAAAAAUGCUUAUUUGGGGCAAUGCUAAAUAUUGCGGCAGUUUUAUGCAUUGCUACCAUUUAUGUUCGUUAUAAGCAAGUUCAUGCUCUGAGUCCUGAAGAGAACGUUAUCAUCAAAUUAAACAAGGCUGGCCUUGUACUUGGAAUACUGAGUUGUUUAGGACUUUCUAUUGUGGCAAACUUCCAGAAAACAACCCUUUUUGCUGCACAUGUAAGUGGAGCUGUGCUUACCUUUGGUAUGGGCUCAUUAUAUAUGUUUGUUCAGACCAUCCUUUCCUACCAAAUGCAGCCCAAAAUCCAUGGCAAACAAGUCUUCUGGAUCAGACUGU